UUCGGAGUCUGGGGGUGCUUUACGCUGAGAUCUUUUUAGAAACCCUUAAACCUGCUCAUGAUAAUGCAUGCGAAGGGAAGAACUUAGAAUGUUUU
rnacentral:ncRNA from 2 species